UAAUACGGAGGGUGCAAGCGUUAUCCGGAUUUAUUGGGUUUAAAGGGUGCGUAGGCGGAAUAUUAAGUCAGUGGUGAAAUCCUGCGGCUCAACCGUAGAACUGCCAUUGAUACUGAUAUUCUUGAAUGUAGUUGAGGUAGGCGGAAUGUGUAAUGUAGCGGUGAAAUGCUUAGAUAUUACACAGAACACCGAUUGCGAAGGCAGCUUGCUAAACUAUGAUUGACGCUGAUGCACGAAAGCGUGGGGAGCGAACAGGAUUAGAUACCCUGGUAGUCCACGCCGUAAACGAUGAUCACUCGUUGUUUGUGAUAUACAAUAAGCGACUGAGCGAAAGCAUUAAGUGAUCCACCUGGGGAGUACGUUCGCAAGAAUG
rnacentral:rRNA from 1 species